CAGGCACAGCGCUCGGGGGCAGCAACAAGCCAUCCCCGGCCGUCCCCUUGGCCUCGAUUCACCAAAGCCUCUCAGCCUGUGCUUCAAGAGGACGUGAUAAAUCCUGCUCAGUAACUGCUGAGCUCUUUUCAUGUUUGUUUUUUUUUUGGUUGAUUGGUUGGUUUUUCUAAAUUAUUUUUAAUGACUUCUGAGAUGGGACUGGAGGCACAGCACGACUUAACAUUGAUUUCAGCUCCCGCCUAUGAUGUAACUAUCUUCAAGCCCUCGGCAGAGCCCAUGCAUCAGGAUGAACUGAAACUGCUGGGGAGAAGCACAUCUCUUUGGGCUGUGAUGGAAGGCCAUGAAACACAGGACCAAAGCCCAAUUAACCUUCCUAAUUAUUUUCCCAUCUUUAUGCAGUCCUCUAGGUAGCUGCUUGUUUGCCACAGAUAUUUGUGCAUAACUCACAGGAAUGUAUGGGAUCAUAUGAUGGAUCACACACCAUUAGGUUUUUAUUGUAAUGGUGUUUUAAAUAUAUGUGGUCUGGAUUCUGCCCUCCAAGUUGCCCAGGGAAAUGGAAAUCCAUGGGAAGAAGAUGGAAUUUCAGAAAGCUUAGCUUGAAUUUUACUUUGCUUCUUCUCUCCCAACAGAACAUAGCAAAAAUUUUAACAUUUGAAUUUUCCAUUUUCUGUGGCAUGGAAAUUUCUGUGGGUAACUAUAUUGGUGUAUCUUCUGUUUACAUUUUACAGUUCUGUCCCCCCCAAGGAUGAAAAAGUAUGUUAUAUAAACCACCUAAAUUUUGCUUUCAUCAUAACUGCCAGAGACAAUAAUGAAAAAUAAUGUCCUGACAACCAUUACUAAAUAGUGGGAAAGGUAUUUUGAGGGCACAUCUUUUUCCUUAGAUAAAGUACUACUAUGAAAGACACAAACACUGUAACUUUGAGUUAGCCUUUAUCACAAUUGUACUAUCUGGACUUGGCUGACCUAAUGAAAUGUUGCUGUGACAUAUUCCUGUGUACUUUUGAAUGCAUUUAAUUAGAGCUCACUAGUGACACUUAUACAACUGGGGAGCCUAACUAACUCUGUCUUUAAAAUACUUAUAUGGAGAAAAAACACAUUUAUGUAAAAGCCGGUGAUCAGGUCCAUUGUGAAAGAAAAGCCUCUUUCUUUAAAUCAUUAAAUGUGGACAGAACCUGCACAUGACCUGACAGUGAAUGAAGUUACUUAUCUCUGAUUAUAUGCCAGAUAUAGAUUGCUGCAACCAAUAAAAGUUAAGGUCAAAGUCUGAAA